ACGGAAGGCAGCAGCUAAGAAUAUUCCGCAAUGGGGGAAACCCUGACGGAGCGACGCCGCGUGGACGAUGAAGGCCGGAAGGUUGUAAAGUCCUUUUAUGGCAGAGGAAUAAGCGGGGGAGUGGAAAGCCUCCGUGAUGACUGUAGGCCAUGAAUAAGCACCGGCUAAUUACGUGCCAGCAGCCGCGGUAACACGUAAGGUGCGAGCGUUGUUCGGAAUCAUUGGGCGUAAAGGGCAUGUAGGCGGUCUGUCCAGCCAGGCGUGAAAGCCAGGGGCUCCACCCCUGAACUGCGCUUGGAACUGGCGGACUGGCGUCGCUGAGGGGGAACCGGAAUUCCUGGUGUAGGGGUGAACUCUGUCGAUAUCAGGAAGAACACCGCUGGCGAAGGCAGGUUUCCAGCAGACGACUGACGCUGAGGUGCGAAGGUGCGGGGAGCAACCAGGAUUCGAUCCCCUGGUA
rnacentral:rRNA from 1 species